rnacentral:rRNA from 1 species
UACGGAGGGUGCAAGCGUUAUCCGGAUUCACUGGGUUUAAAGGGUGCGUAGGCGGUUGAUUAAGUCAGUGGUGAAAGCUCGCAGCUUAACUGUGAAACUGCCAUUGAAACUGAUUAACUUGAGUACAAUUGAAGUGGGCGGAAUACAUCAUGUAGCGGUGAAAUGCUUAGAUAUGACAUAGAACACCAAUUGCGAAGGCAGCUCGCUACACAUAUAUUGACUCUGAGGCACGAAAGCGUGGGGAUCAAACAGG